rnacentral:lncRNA from 1 species
GUGGGUUUGGGGUUUAGGGGAACGAUAUAUGUGGGGUUGGGAAUGAUCUGUGUGGGGUUGGGGUUUAGGGGAAUGGUUUUUGUGGGGGUUGGGAUUUAGGGAAAUAAUCUGUGUGGGGUUGGGAAUGAUCUGUGUGGAAUUGGGGUUUAUGGGAAUGCUCCAUGUGGGGUUGGGGUUUAGGGAGCUCAGCUGCCCGAGAGGAGGGGCAGAGCCAAGCCCAGGGUGUCCCUGCAGCCUCUGGACGCCAGAGCCCCUCCCAAGCAGCCCCUGAAGAGGAAGGGCCCCGAGUGCCCCCCGACUGUGGUGGCAGUGAAGCCUCUCAGUGCCACCAGCGGGCACAGCCCGGGCUGCCCAGCCAAGGUGAGGCCCCAAAUCCCCCCAAAAAACCCUGGAAAAUUGAAAUGUUCUCCAUUUCAGCAAUGCCCUUUUCACCCCACGGCUCUCAGGGGCAGCACAUUCCUGCUUUGGAGGCAUCUCCAAAAUUCCCUGCUGGGAUUUGGGAAUAUUUUGUCCUUUCCAAGGCAGAAAUUCCUUAA